AGGGCUAUAGCUCAGUUGGUAGAGCACCUCGUUUACACCCCCGAGAAAGG
rnacentral:tRNA from 1 species